GGAUCGAAGAUAUUAUCUGUUGCGUGAAUUUGCUAUUACGGCUAGUAAUUUCUCAGCUCAUGAUGGUUGUUGAAAUUGUUGCCUUUUUUUUCUUUGUGCGGGGGAAAUUAGAUUUUAAAGUUGCCGGGGAAUCAUGCUCGGUAUCAUAAGGCGGAGGGUUUCUUCUAGUAGCCCAUAUCCCUUGCUUUUAAGCCAGUCAGCGCGAAAAUUCUGCUCUGGCCCCUCAGCUCCUACCAGAGUUUCCUCCAUUGUUGAAAAGGAGGCAUUCAAGAUAAUUGUGACUGAUCCAUGUAAAUAAAACUAUAGAAGUACCUGCCAUGUAAAUCACACUGGUAAAUAUCUGAAGCUUUAAUUUUUUCCAUCAAAAAUCCCAUUCAAGUAUUUAUUUUCAUGCUACCACAUGCUCUUCUAAAACCUACACACAUCAAACUUUCAUUUUUAAGUAAAUCCAUGCUUUCUAUUGUCACUCUUCAUUAAUAUCUUUUUAGUGUGUAUUUGGUUCUGAUUUUGUAAAAUCUUUGUUUUGUAGUUUCUCUACAGAGAGAAAUUCGGUAAGUCCAUAUUUCCAUAAGAAAUUAGCUGUGGCUGCCACAUCCUAAUCAUACCUGUUGGUAUAUAUAUACAAGUUUGAAACAUAAUAGGAUGCAUAAAAUUAGUGAUAGAAUAGGAAACUAAGAAGCUUAUUGGUGUUCAGUACGUAGGUUCCUGUGGCUUGGUAGUUCAUUAGAUCACAUAAUGAAAGAACCAUUUGACUAGUUAGUUAGAGUAGUUGUAGUGUGGUAUACUAUUUCAUAGUUUGUGAUUAUAGAGAAUGUUACCAUUAAAUCUAACUUUAUUUUUGUGUCUAACAGCAACUUGAAGAAAUUUAGCCUAUAUUAUAAGAAGAUAAAAUAACCAGCAUUCAUUACAAGUUAUUAGUAGAA